CCUACGGGUGGCAGCAGUAGGGAAUCUUUCACAAUGGGCGAAAGCCUGAUGGAGCAACGCCGCGUGCAGGAUGAAGGCCUUCGGGUUGUAAACUGCUUUUAUAAGCGAGAAAUAUGAUGGUAACUUAUGAAUAAGGAUCGGCUAACUACGUGCCAGCAGCCGCGGUAAUACGUAGGGGGCAAGCGUUAUCCGGAUUUACUGGGUGUAAAGGGAGCGUAGGCGGUGAUGCAAGUCAGAAGUGAAAGCCCGCAGCUCAACUGCGGGACUGCUUUUGAAACUGUAUGACUAGAUUGCAGGAGAGGUAAGUGGAAUUCCUAGUGUAGCGGUGAAAUGCGUAGAUAUUAGGAGGAACACCAGUGGCGAAGGCGGCUUACUGGACUGUAAAUGACGCUGAGGCUCGAAAGCGUGGGGAGCAAACAGGAUUAGAUACCCCAGUAGUC
rnacentral:rRNA from 1 species